GAUGAACGCUGCGGCGUGCGUAACACAUGCAAGUUGAACGACGGUGCCAUGAAGUGGUAACACGGAGUGGUAUACGGAGUAGCGGACGGGUGAGUAAAGCAUGAGAAUCUGUCCUGUCGAGGGGGAUAACGUUCGGAAACGGACCCUAAUACCCCAUAGUCCGAGAGGUUAAAGGCAGCGAUGCGCGGCAGGAGGAGCUCGUGUCCUAUCAGCUAGUUGGUGAGGUAACGGCUCACCAAGGCAACGACGGGUAGCCGGCCUGAGAGGGUGACCGGCCACACUGGAACUGAGAAACGGUCCAGACUCCUACGGGAGGCAGCAGUGGGGAAUAUUGGGCAAUGGGAGGAAUCCUGACCCAGCGACGCCGCGUGAACGAAGACGGCCUUCGGGUUGUAAAGUUCUUUUAUGUGGGAAGAAUGAAGUGACGGUACCACAUGAAUAAGCCCCGGCUAACUAC
rnacentral:rRNA from 1 species